AGCGUACACGGUGGAUGCCCUGGCAGUCAGAGGCGAUGAAGGGCGUGCUAAUCUGCGAUAAGCGCCGGUAAGGUGAUAUGAACCGUUAUAACCGGCGAUACCCGAAUGGGGAAACCCAGUGUGAUUCGUCACACUAUCAUUAACUGAAUCCAUAGGUUAAUGAGGCGAACCGGGGGAACUGAAACAUCUAAGUACCCCGAGGAAAAGAAAUCAACCGAGAUUCCCCCAGUAGCGGCGAGCGAACGGGGAGGAGCCCAGAGCCUGAAUCAGCAUGUGUGUUAGUGGAAGCGUCUGGAAAGGUGCGCGAUACAGGGUGACAGCCCCGUACACAAAAGCGCAUGUGCUGUGAGCUCGAUGAGUAGGGCGGGACACGUGGUAUCCUGUCUGAAUAUGGGGGGACCAUCCUCCAAGGCUAAAUACUCCUGACUGACCGAUAGUGAACCAGUACCGUGAGGGAAAGGCGAAAAGAACCCCGGCGAGGGGAGUGAAAAAGAACCUGAAACCGUGUACGUACAAGCAGUGGGAGCACAGGUUUACCUGUGUGACUGCGUACCUUUUGUAUAAUGGGUCAGCGACUUAUAUUCUGUAGCAAGGUUAACCGAAUAGGGGAGCCGGAGGGAAACCGAGUCUUAAUUGGGCGUUAAGUUGCAGGGUAUAGACCCGAAACCCGGUGAUCUAGCCAUGGGCAGGUUGAAGGUUGGGUAACACUAACUGGAGGACCGAACCGACUAAUGUUGAAAAAUUAGCGGAUGACCUGUGGCUGGGGGUGAAAGGCCAAUCAAACCGGGAGAUAGCUGGUUCUCCCCGAAAGCUAUUUAGGUAGCGCCUCGUGAAUUCAUCUCCGGGGGUAGAGCACUGUUUCGGCUAGGGGGCCAUCCCGGCUUACCAACCCGAUGCAAACUGCGAAUACCGGAGAAUGUUAUCACGGGAGACACACGGCGGGUGCUAACGUCCGUCGUGAAGAGGGAAACAACCCAGACCGCCAGCUAAGGUCCCAAAGUCAUGGUUAAGUGGGAAACGAUGUGGGAAGGCCCAGACAGCCAGGAUGUUGGCUUAGAAGCAGCCAUCAUUUAAAGAAAGCGUAAUAGCUCACUGGUCGAGUCGGCCUGCGCGGAAGAUGUAACGGGGCUAAACCAUGCACCGAAGCUGCGGCAGCGAACGUAUCACCCAAGACAACUUUACGGAGUUGACGAUUGACGGAGCGAAGCGACGUCAAAGCGUUCAUUAAAGUCGAGUUGGCUUAGGGAUACGUUCGUUGGGUAGGGGAGCGUUCUGUAAGCCUGUGAAGGUGUGUCGUGAGGCAUGCUGGAGGUAUCAGAAGUGCGAAUGCUGACAUAAGUAACGAUAAAGCGGGUGAAAAGCCCGCUCGCCGGAAGACCAAGGGUUCCUGUCCAACGUUAAUCGGGGCAGGGUGAGUCGACCCCUAAGGCGAGGCCGAAAGGCGUAGUCGAUGGGAAACGGGUUAAUAUUCCCGUACUUGGUGUUACUGCGAAGGGGGGACGGAGAAGGCUAUGUUGGCCGGGCGACGGUUGUCCCGGUUUAAGCGUGUAGGUGUGUGUUCCAGGUAAAUCCGGUUCACUUUAACACUGAGGCGUGACGACGAGGCACUACGGUGCUGAAGCAACAAAUGCCCUGCUUCCAGGAAAAGCCUCUAAGCAUCAGGUAACACGAAAUCGUACCCCAAACCGACACAGGUGGUCAGGUAGAGAAUACCAAGGCGCUUGAGAGAACUCGGGUGAAGGAACUAGGCAAAAUGGUGCCGUAACUUCGGGAGAAGGCACGCUGACACGUAGGUGAAGUGAUUUACUCAUGGAGCUGAAGUCAGUCGAAGAUACCAGCUGGCUGCAACUGUUUAUUAAAAACACAGCACUGUGCAAACACGAAAGUGGACGUAUACGGUGUGACGCCUGCCCGGUGCCGGAAGGUUAAUUGAUGGGGUCAGCGUAAGCGAAGCUCCUGAUCGAAGCCCCGGUAAACGGCGGCCGUAACUAUAACGGUCCUAAGGUAGCGAAAUUCCUUGUCGGGUAAGUUCCGACCUGCACGAAUGGCGUAAUGAUGGCCAGGCUGUCUCCACCCGAGACUCAGUGAAAUUGAACUCGCUGUGAAGAUGCAGUGUACCCGCGGCAAGACGGAAAGACCCCGUGAACCUUUACUAUAGCUUGACACUGAACAUUGAGCCUUGAUGUGUAGGAUAGGUGGGAGGCUUUGAAGUGUGGACGCCAGUCUGCAUGGAGCCGACCUUGAAAUACCACCCUUUAAUGUUUGAUGUUCUAACGUGGACCCGUAAUCCGGGUUGCGGACAGUGUCUGGUGGGUAGUUUGACUGGGGCGGUCUCCUCCUAAAGAGUAACGGAGGAGCACGAAGGUUGGCUAAUCCUGGUCGGACAUCAGGAGGUUAGUGCAAUGGCAUAAGCCAGCUUGACUGCGAGCGUGACGGCGCGAGCAGGUGCGAAAGCAGGUCAUAGUGAUCCGGUGGUUCUGAAUGGAAGGGCCAUCGCUCAACGGAUAAAAGGUACUCCGGGGAUAACAGGCUGAUACCGCCCAAGAGUUCAUAUCGACGGCGGUGUUUGGCACCUCGAUGUCGGCUCAUCACAUCCUGGGGCUGAAGUAGGUCCCAAGGGUAUGGCUGUUCGCCAUUUAAAGUGGUACGCGAGCUGGGUUUAGAACGUCGUGAGACAGUUCGGUCCCUAUCUGCCGUGGGCGCUGGAGAACUGAGGGGGGCUGCUCCUAGUACGAGAGGACCGGAGUGGACGCAUCACUGGUGUUCGGGUUGUCAUGCCAAUGGCACUGCCCGGUAGCUAAAUGCGGAAGAGAUAAGUGCUGAAAGCAUCUAAGCACGAAACUUGCCCCGAGAUGAGUUCU
rnacentral:rRNA from 1 species